UACGUAGGGUGCGAGCGUUGUCCGGAAUUAUUGGGCGUAAAGAGCUUGUAGGCGGUCUGUCGCGUCUGCUGUGAAAAUCCGGGGCUCAACCCCGGACUUGCAGUGGGUACGGGCAGACUAGAGUACGGUAGGGGCAGAGGGAAUUUCCGGUGGAGCGAUGAAAUGCGUAGAGAUCGGAAGGAACACCCAAGGCGAAAGCACUCUGCUGGGCCGACACUGACACUGAGAGACGAAAGCUAGGGGAGCAAAUGGG
rnacentral:rRNA from 1 species